rnacentral:rRNA from 1 species
UUACCCAAUCCCGAUUCGGGGAGGUAGUGACAAUAAAUAACAAUACAGGGCCAACGGUCUUGUUAUUGGAAUGAGAACAAUUUAAAUAACUUAACGAGGAUCAAUUAGAGGGCAAGUCUGGUGCCAGCAGCCGCGGUAAUUCCAGCUCUAAUAGCGUAUAUUAAAGUUGUUGCAGUUAAAAAGCUCGUAGUCGGAUGUCGGGCUCGGGCAGGCUGUCGGCUUCGGUCGGACGGCAGGCUCGGGUCUUUCUGCCUGGGGAUCCAUCUCAUUCACUUGGGGUGGGGACGCAGGCCGUUUACUUUGAAAAAAUUAGAGUGUUCAAAGCAGGCCUACGCUUGAAUACAUUAGCAUGGAAUAAUGGAAUAGGACUUUGGUGCUAUUUUGUUGGUUUAUGGGACCGAAGUAAUGAUUAACAGGGACAGUUGGGGCCGUUUAUAUUUCGUUGUCAGAGGUGAAAUUCUUGGAUUUACGAAAGAUAAACUUCUGCGAAAGCAUUCGGCAAGGAUGUUUUCAUUGAUCAAGAACGAAAGUUAGGGGAUCGAAGACGAUCAGAUACCGUCGUAGUCUUAACCAUAAACUAUGCCGACUAGGGAUCAGUGGAUGUCAAUUUGCGACUCCAUUGGCACCUUGUGAGAAAUCAAAGUUUUUGGGUUCCGGGGGGAGUAUGGUCGCAAGGCUGAAACUUAAAGGAAUUGACGGAAGGGCACCACCAGGAGUGGAGCCUGCGGCUUAAUUUGACUCAACACGGGGAAACUUACCAGGUCCAGACAUAGUAAGGAUUGACAGAUUGAAAGCUCUUUCUUGAUUCUAUGGGUGGUGGUGC